rnacentral:rRNA from 1 species
GAAAGUUAAGGGUAUGUGGUGGAUGCCUUGACUCUUAAUGGCGAUGAAAGACGUGGUCUGUCUGCGAUAAGCUUCGGUGAGGUGACAAACAACCUUCGACCCGGAGAUUUCUGAAUGGGGAAACCCCCUUGAGUUAAUACUCAUUGACUUUAAAUCUUAGAAUUUAAAGAGCGUACCCAGGGAAGUGAAACAUCUCAGUACCUGGAGGAAAAGAAAAAAACCUGUCUGAUGACAGAAUAUUCCCUUAGUAGCGGCGAGCGAAACGGGAUGAGCCCAAACCCAGCGUUGUUGCAUUAGUAACUUAUGCUGGGGGUUGUAGGAUAACAACUUCCUUUAUUGGAGGGAAGUCAAAAAAUGUGUUGUUAGUUGAAUCUUCUGGAAAGAAGAACCGUAGAGGGUGAUAGUCCCUUAAACGAAAAUUUCACAUCUUCCUUGUUGUUACUCCUGAGUAGGGUCGGACAUGAAUAGCCGGCUUGAAUCCGCCAGAACUAACUGGUAAGGCUAAAUACAUUAAGAGAUCGAUAGUGAACAAGUACCGUGAGGGAAAGGUGAAAAGAACCCCGGAAGGGGAGUGAAAUAGACCUGAAACCACAUAUCUACAAAAGGUUGAAGAGGGCAUUUAUGUCCUCGACAGCGUGCCUAUUGAAGAAUGAGCCAACGAGUUUAUGUAUGCUGCUUGUCUAAGUCGUUAAAACGACGAAGGCCCAGGGAAACCAAGUGUUAAUAGCGCGUAAUUGGCAGUAUGUAUAAGACCCGAAACAAAGUGAGCUUACCAUGAGCAGGGUGAAGCGACUGUAAUAGGUCGUGGAGGCCCGAACCCACGCGCCGUUCAACACGCGGGGAUGACUUGUGGUAAGGGGUGAAAAGCCAAUCGAACUUUGUAAUAGCUGGUUCUCUCCGAAAUAGCUUUAGGGCUAGCGUCGACGUGUUCCUUCUGGGGGUAGAGCACUGGAAGGUUUAAACAGGGAGCAAUCUCGUUAAACCUAUCAAACUCCGAAUACCAGAAGUUAAUAACUCGGCAGUCAGACUACGGGCGCGAAGGUCCGUCGGUCAAAAGGGAAACAGCCCAGAUCCACAAAUAAGGUCCCUAAAUAUAUACUAAGUGCACUUAAGGAUGUAGAGUUCCUUUGACAAUGAGGAGGUUGGCUUAGAGGCAGCCAUCCUUUAAAGAUAGCGUAACAGCUCACUCAUCAAGGGACUCCGCGCCGCAGAUAAUCGGGGCUAAGUAUAUUACCGAAUUUUGGGGCUUCAUCUGUAUUCGUACAGGUGGAGCGGUAGGAGAGUAUUCUGUACCGCACUGAAGGCAAAGGGGUGACCCAUGCUGGAGCGUACAGAAGUAAGAAUGUUGGCACAAGUAACCACAAGGGGGGUGAGACACCCCCCCGCCGAAAGAUCAAGGUUUCCUUUGCAAUGAUAAUCAGCGAAGGGUUAGUCGGACCUAAGGAGAUGACGAAGGUCGCAUCCGAUGGCCACACGGUUAAUAUUCCGUGACUUCUUGUUCGUGCGAUGGAGGGACGGAGUCUUGUACACUGAGCGCAUUAUUGGAUUUGCGUUCGUGCCAUGAGGGUGUUGUUUAGGUAAAUCCAGACAGCUAUAGCCCAAGUGGAGCGAAAAUUUAUGUCUACGGACAUAGAGAUUUGGUGGAGCAGACUUCCAAGAAAAGCUUCUAAGCAUAACGAACAUGAAUCCGUACCGCAAACCAACACAGGUGAUCAGGUCG